GGCUUAGAGUUUGAUCAUGGCUCAGGAUGAACGCUAGCGACAGGCUUAACACAUGCAAGUCGAGGGGCAGCACAGGUAGCAAUACCGGGUGGCGACCGGCGCACGGGUGAGUAACGCGUAUGCAACUUACCUAUCAGAGGGGGAUAACCCGGCGAAAGUCGGACUAAUACCGCAUGAAGCAGGGGCCCCGCAUGGGGAUAUUUGCUAAAGAUUCAUCGCUGAUAGAUAGGCAUGCGUUCCAUUAGGCAGUUGGCGGGGUAACGGCCCACCAAACCGACGAUGGAUAGGGGUUCUGAGAGGAAGGUCCCCCACAUUGGUACUGAGACACGGACCAAACUCCUACGGGAGGCAGCAGUGAGGAAUAUUGGUCAAUGGGCGUAAGCCUGAACCAGCCAAGUCGCGUGAGGGAUGAAGGUUCUAUGGAUCGUAAACCUCUUUUAUAAGGGAAUAAAGUGUGGGACGCGGCCUCUUUUGUAUGUACCUUAUGAAUAAGGAUCGGCUUCCUUUGUGCCAGCAGGC
rnacentral:rRNA from 1 species